GGAGGCGUCGCCCGUUGGAAAGGGCAGCUAUCUAAGAAAUAGCCUUACGUGUCUGCGUAUCGUGGGUUCGAAUCCCACCGCCUCCG
rnacentral:tRNA from 1 species